CCUACGGGAGGCAGCAGUGAGGAAUAUUGGUCAAUGGGCGGGAGCCUGAACCAGCCAAGCCGCGUGAGGGAAGAAGGUACAGCGUAUCGUAAACCUCUUUUGUCAGGGAACAAAGGCGGGGACUAGUCCCCGGAUGAGGGUACCUGAAGAAAAAGCAUCGGCUAACUCCGUGCCAGCAGCCGCGGUAGUACGGAGGAUGCGAGCGUUAUCCGGAUUUAUUGGGUUUAAAGGGUGCGCAGGCGGCCUGUUAAGUCAGCGGUAAAAGCCCGGGGCUCAACCCCGGCGAGCGGUUGAACCUGGGGGGCUGGAGUGGGAGAGAAGUACGCGGAAUGCGCGGGGUAGGGGUGAAAUGGUUAG
rnacentral:rRNA from 1 species